GGGCCUGUGGCCAAACGGUCAAGGCAACUCGCUCAUAACGAGUCGACUCUCGGUUCAAAUCCGAGCAGGCCCA
rnacentral:tRNA from 1 species